rnacentral:rRNA from 1 species
UACGGGGGGAGCAAGCGUUGUUCGGAUUUACUGGGCGUAAAGGGCGCGUAGGCGGCCACCGCAAGUCGGUUGUGAAAUCUCUGGGCUUAACCCAGAAAGGUCAACCGAUACUGCGGGGCUAGAGUGCAGAAGGGGCAACUGGAAUUCUCGGUGUAGCAGUGAAAUGCGUAGAUAUCGAGAGGAACACCUGCGGCGAAGGCGGGUUGCUGGGCUGACACUGACGCUGAAGCGCGAAAGCUAGGGGAGCGAACGGG